rnacentral:misc_RNA from 2 species
CAACCCUCAAGCAUUGCUUGGUGUUGGGGCACUGCUUCUAACGAAGCAGGCCCUGAAAUCUAGUGGCGAGCUCGCCAGGACCCCGAGCGCAGUAGUUAAACCCUCGCUCUGGAAGGCCCUGGCGGUGCCCUGCCGUUAAACCCCCAACUUCUGAAA